UACGGAGGGGGCUAGCGUUGUUCGGAAUUACUGGGCGUAAAGCGCGCGUAGGCGGCUUUGUAAGUUAGAGGUGAAAGCCCGGAGCUCAACUCCGGAAUUGCCUUUAAGACUGCAUCGCUAGAAUCAUGGAGAGGUUAGUGGAAUUCCGAGUGUAGGGGUGAAAUUCGUAGAUAUUCGGAAGAACACCAGUGGCGAAGGCGACUAACUGGACAUGUAUUGACGCUGAUGCACGAAGGCCAGGGGAGCAAACGGG
rnacentral:rRNA from 1 species